AGUACAGGAGGAAGAGUGGUUAGUCCUUAUCGUAGUUGCCUAACGCCUAAAAUAGUGGAAGUGCUUGUUUGCACACAAGAUUGGUUAAAAGGAACACCUUUCUCUAUACUUUUUGAUGAGGAUCCUAAAGAACUUGAUAAAUUUGAGCAAGAGAUAACCUCUCAAGAUGAAGUGGGACCUUCAAGUGUUGCUAUUAAUUUGGAUGAUUGAAGUUUUGUCACAAUUUGUUAGUUAUCUAAAGUACAUGAUGAUUCAUACAUUGAAAGCUACAUAAGCA